AGAAUCAACGCUGGCGGCGUGCCUCAGACAUGCAAGUCGAACGCGAAAGUCCCCUUCGGGGGGCAAGUAGAGUGGCGCACGGGUGAGUAACACGUAGGUAAUCUACCUUUGGAUGGGGAAUAACAACCGGAAACGGUUGCUAAUACCGCAUAAUGCAGCGGCACCUAAUGGUGACAGUUGUUAAAGCGGGGGAUCGAAAGACCUCGCGUCUGAAGAGGAGCCUGCGGCGGAUUAGCUAGUUGGUAGGGUAACGGCCUACCAAGGCUACGAUCCGUA
rnacentral:rRNA from 1 species